CAGGCAAGGGUGUCUCACUUCAGGUCAUCUUGUAAAAGGCAAAGGCAGCCUCUUUAGCCCCGGGCUUUCCUCUGGACGUGCAAAGUACUUCUAACCAGCCACCUUCUGAAUCCCGGAGGCUCUCGAGGCCGGCCUCACGCUCUCUGAGAUGGAACAGUCCUGCGAUCAGCCCUCCCCAGGCGAGGCUCCCAUCCUGUGGCCCAGCAGCUGCCCACGCACACACGGGUGCAGGGAAGGUGCCACCUGGCAUCACCUGAACCCCAAGAGAACAGCUUCCGACCGCAGGGAGAGCGCAUCCCCUCGUCUGCCAUGUGUACACCUCACCAGGGCUGUACCACUCACAUUCUCCACAGCCUGACCUUUUGGGCCUCUGCUGUUUCUCAGCCCCCACCCCUGGCCUUUCUUCUGCUUUUCUAUUGAAAUCCUGAGCAUUUCUCAAAAUUAAGAUGAAAUAAAAUACCCUUCCUGAC
ensembl:lncRNA novel transcript